rnacentral:rRNA from 1 species
AUGGUUGAAACUGAGAAACAUUUGGUAUUUUCACAGGUAUACAAACUUAUUGAGUUGGCCUUGAUAUUGCCGGUGUCAACGGUAUCUGUUGAAAGAGCUUUUUCAUGAAUGAAGAUUAUCAAGACUAAACUACGUAGCAAGAUCAAUAAUGAAUGGUUCAAUGACUUGUUGAUGAUAAGGAUAUUAUUCGAACAUUUACUGCAAUGA